rnacentral:misc_RNA from 1 species
AAGUCGUAACAAGGUUUCCGUAGGUGAACCUGCGGAAGGAUCAUUAAUGAAUCAAAUUCGGUCUUCUGUGCUGGUGGCAACACAUGUGCACGUCGAUUGUAAUUCCAUCCUCCUCCCAACCGUCCAUGUGUGUGUUUGGUCGACCUCGGUCGAAGAGUUGUGGCCCUUGGCCUCGAUUUGUUCCAGAUGCACCUUGGUUAUUUCACCCACUCUGGGUACUAGAAACAAAGAACACUUUAUAUAAACUUAACAACUUUCAACAACGGAUCUCUUGGCUCUC